CUAGAAACUAUUGAAAUCGUCAGAAAAAAAACUGAAAUGUAGAGAUGUCAGGUAAUUGAAAGGAACAACUCUGGGUGUCUCUCUCCUAGGAGGUUUCGUUUUGCCGAUGUGCUCGCCUCACUUCUG